ACACUGCAACCGCUCAAAUUAAGUUUAAAGUUUCAGUUUCGAACACUUAUGCUGGCGAGUCUAAGAAUU
rnacentral:sRNA from 1 species